rnacentral:rRNA from 12 species
GGCGACCGGCGCACGGGUGCGGAACGCGUAUGGAACCUGCCCCUGUCAGGGGAAUAGCCCAGGGAAACUUGGAUUAAUGCCCCAUGGUACCGCGAUAUCGCAUGAUAUUGCGGUUAAAGAUUUAUCGGACAGGGAUGGCCAUGCGUACCAUUAGUUAGUUGGUGGGGUAACGGCCCACCAAGGCAGCGAUGGUUAGGGGCCCUGAGAGGGGGAUCCCCCACACUGGUACUGAGACACGGACCAGACUCCUACGGGAGGCAGCAGUGGGGAAUCUUGGACAAUGGGGGCAACCCUGAUCCAGCCAUGCCGCGUGUGUGAUGAAGGCCCUAGGGUUGUAAAGCACUUUCAACGGUGAAGAUAAUGACGGUAACCGUAGAAGAAGCCCCGGCUAACUUCGUGCCAGCAGCCGCGGUAAUACGAAGGGGGCUAGCGUUGUUCGGAAUUACUGGGCGUAAAGCGCACGUAGGCGGAUCGAUCAGUCAGGGGUGAAAGGCCUGGGCUCAACCCGGGAACUGCCUUUGAUACUGUCGAUCUUGAAUCCGGGAGAGGUAAGCGGAAUUCCAAGUGUAGAGGUGAAAUUCGUAGAUAUUUGGAAGAACACCAGUGGCGAAGGCGGCUUACUGGACCGGUAUUGACGCUGAUGUGCGAAAGCGUGGGGAGCGAACAGGAUUAGAUACCCUGGUAGUCCACGCCGUAAACGAUGAGUGCUAGUUGUCGGGGGUUCGGCCUUCGGUGACGCAGCUAACGCGUUAAGCACUCCGCCUGGGGAGUACGGCCGCAAGGUUAAAACUCAAAGGAAUUGACGGGGGCCCGCACAAGCGG